rnacentral:rRNA from 1 species
AUGAACGCUAGCGGCAGGCUUAACACAUGCAAGUCGAGGGGUAUAGUAGCAAUACUAGAGACCGGCGCACGGGUGCGUAACGCGUAUGCAAUCUACCUUUUGCAGGGGAAUAGCCCAGAGAAAUUUGGAUUAAUGCCCCAUAGUAUAAUGACUCGGCAUCGAGAUAUUAUUAAAGUCACAACGGCAAAAGAUGAGCAUGCGUCCCAUUAGCUAGUUGGUGGGGUAAAGGCCCACCAAGGCGACGAUCUGUAGCUGGUCUGAGAGGACGACCAGCCACACUGGGACUGAGACACGGCCCAGACUCCUACGGGAGGCAGCAGUGGGGAAUUUUGGACAAUGGACGCAAGUCUGAUCCAGCCAUUCCGCGUGCAGGAUGAAGGCCCUCGGGUUGUAAACUGCUUUUGUACGGAACGAAAAGGUUUCUAUUAAUACUAGGAGCUCAUGACGGUACCGUAAGAAUAAGCACCGGCUAACUACGUG